CAGCAUGCCGCGUGGAGGAUGACGGUCCUCUGGAUGUAAACUGCUUUUGUUAGGAAAAAAACCCUCGUAUGCGUACGAGGCUGACGGUACCUAAAGAAUAAGGAUCGGCUAACUCCAUGCCAGCAGCCGCGGUAAUACGGAGGAUCCAAGCGUUAUCCGGAUUUAUUGGGUUUAAAGGGUGCGUAGGCGGCGUUGUAAGUCAGUGGUGAAAGUUUGCAGCUUAACUGUAAAAUUGCCAUUGAUACUGCAGUGCUUGACUACAGAUGAGGUGGGCGGAAUGUGUCUUGUAGCGGUGAAAUGCAUAGAUAUGACACAGAACACCGAUUGCGAAGGCAGCUCACUAUACUGUAACUGACGCUGAGGCACGAAAGCGUGGGGAUCAAACAGGAUUAGAUACCCUGGUAGUCCACGCCCUAAACGAUGAUUACUCGAUGUUAGCGAUAUACAGUUAGCGUCCAAGCGAAAGCAUUAAGUAAUCCACCUGGGGAGUACGCCUGCAACGGUGAAACUCAAAUGAAUUGACGG
rnacentral:rRNA from 1 species